CUGCAAGUUGCUUGUCCUGCAUCACGUGCUUCAUGUUCGACGGUUACUUAAAACUUGUUUAAUCUGUGUUUCUCUCGCUACGAUGCGACAGAUAAUCUUACAAAAUUACUUCUGUUAUUCAACCCCUCCUUUUUAAAUUGAGUUUGACAAAUAUUACAAAAUAACGUGCCUGCAAGCCUUUUGAGCUGUUGCUGUUACUAUAAGUUGUCGCCAUUGAUGUACACGAGUUGUGUGAUAGAGAUUUGGUAGUUUGCAGAAGCUGAGCUGAGUUGGGAUGGAGGCGAGACAGCUUGAAUAUGUGAUGGUUCCGCUUGGUUUUGCGGUGCUGGUGGGCUACCAUCUUUGGCUGGUAAUCACCAUUCACCGGAGACCCAGAAUAACGGUCAUCGGAAUCAAUGCCGAAUCCCGCCGGCAAUGGGUCUCAACCAUGAUUCAAGACCCUUCAAAGAAUGGUGUUCUUGCUGUCCAAACCAUACGAAACAACAUCAUGGCUUCUACGCUUAUGGCGACGACAACGAUCACGGUUGGCUCAUUGAUCAGUGUUUUUGUGAGCAGCACAUCGAGUACCGGCAAAUACCGUUACAUUGUACUGUGUUUCCUCGUUGCAUUUCUUUGCAAUGUGCAGUCUAUCAGAUACUAUGCUCAUGCCAGCUUCUUAGUCACUUUGCCUGCUUGUGAAGGCAGACAGGAUUAUCUUGCUGCAGCCUUGAAUCGAGGAAGCUUUUUCUGGUCGCUCGGAUUGCGAGCUUUCUAUUUUGCAAUUCCUCUCUUCAUCUGGAUCUUUGGACAUCUUUCCAUGUUUUUGAGCUGCUGCCUGAUAGCAUUUGUUCUUUACUUUCUGGACUUUACUAGAAGUUCCAGCUACGAUCCUUAUGAUUACGCUCAAAAGGAAGAAGCAAACAACGACGUUGAAUCUUUGGGUCAAUCAGGGGGAAACAACUGCUCUGCAAACUCCUGCCUUCACUCACCUCUACUUGCAGGUUCCAAUGCAACUCCCAACUGAAAUGGCUGUGCAAAUCAAAACAGAAUUACAAUUUGUUACAGAAAAAUACUGCUUUUUUCAGCUAUAUCUAGUGUUGAGAACUGAGAUUGGGGAGAGAUCGAACGCACUUUUCAUUUGUUCACAAUCCACAGCUUUUGAGGUCGUGUUGAUCACUUCAACGGGUCCGUUUCUUUCUCGGUCAUAUUGUUAUACUCGAACACUUCACUGUGCGGCAUCAUCUGUUGCUCUCAAUAUGACCUCAAGAAAAGCCAGCCAGACUAGUUACCAAAAAUGUCAUUUUAAUAGGGAGAGAGAGAGGCUUAUCUGAGACUCCCAAGUCCUAACCAAUGUUUGGCAUCUACUUAUGGCACAGUUUUAAAGGAGAAUUAGCCAUUGCCCAAAAAAAUGCAUGUGUUUUGGGACGUUCUGUUCAUAAUUGAAUGUGUUUGAGUCCAAUUUGAUUAUGAUUUCCAAGAAACGUGAUGGAUUUGCAUAAAUGUCACCAAAUCUGACCUUAUUAUAUAUUGCUGCAUUGG